AUCACUUCUCGACCUUUUGGCUGAGAUCAAGUGAAGUAUCUGUUUUUAUUAGAGCUCUACACAUGGAGUUAAAGGGGUACUCUGGUGGAAAACUUCUUUUUUAUUUAUUUAUUUUUUUAAAUCAACUGGUGCCAGAAAGUUAAACAGAUUUUUAAAUGACUUCUAUUAAAAAAAUCUUAAUCCUU